CCUACGGGAGGCAGCAGUCGAGAAUCAUUCACAAUGGGGGAAACCCUGAUGGUGCGACGCCGCGUGGGGGAAUGAAGGUCUUCGGAUUGUAAACCCCUGUCAUGUGGGAGCAAAUUAAAAAGAUAGUACCACAAGAGGAAGAGACGGCUAACUCUGUGCCAGCAGCCGCGGUAAUACAGAGGUCUCAAGCGUUGUUCGGAAUCACUGGGCGGAAAGCGUGCGUAGGCUGUUUCGUAAGUCGUGUGUGAAAGGCGCGGGCUCAACCCGCAGACGGCACAUGAUACUGCGAGACUAGAGUAAUGGAGGGGGAACCGGAAUUCUCGGUGUAGCAGUGAAAUGCGUAGAUAUCGAGAGGAACACUCGUGGCGAAGGCGGGUUCCUGGACAUUAACUGACGCUGAGGCACGAAGGCCAGGGGAGCGAAAGGGAUUAGAUACCCGAGUAGUC
rnacentral:rRNA from 1 species